rnacentral:rRNA from 1 species
GACGAACGCUGGCGGCGUGCUUAACACAUGCAAGUCGAACGGAAAGGCCCUGCUUGCAGGGUACUCGAGUGGCGAACGGGUGAGUAACACGUGGGUGAUCUGCCCUGCACUUCGGGAUAAGCCUGGGAAACUGGGUCUAAUACCGGAUAGGAGCCAUUUUUAGUGUGAUGGUUGGAAAGUUUUUUCGGUGUAGGAUGAGCUCGCGGCCUAUCUGCUUGUUGGUGGGGUAAUGGCCUACCAAGGCGGCGGCGGGUAGCCGGCCUGGGGGGGUGGACGGCCACAUUGGGGCUGAGAGUCGGCCCAGGCUCCGACGGGGGGGAACAGGGGGGAAUAUUGCACAAGGGGCGCGAGCCUGAUGCAGCGACGCCGCGUGGGGGAAGACGGCCUUCGGGUUGUAAAAUCCGUUCGCUAGGGACGAAGCUUUUUGUGACGGUACCUAGAUAAGAAGCACCGGCUAACUACGUG